AACGAACGCUGGCGGCAUGCCUAACACAUGCAAGUCGAACGAGACCUUCGGGUCUAGUGGCGCACGGGUGCGUAACGCGUGGGAACCUGCCCUUAGGUUCGGAAUAACUCCCCGAAAGGGGUGCUAAUACCGGAUAAUGUCUUCGGACCAAAGAUUUAUCGCCUUUGGAUGGGCCCGCGUUGGAUUAGCUAGUUGGUAGGGUAAAAGCCUACCAAGGCGACGAUCCAUAGCUGGUCUGAGAGGAUGAUCAGCCACACUGGGACUGAGACACGGCCCAGACUCCUACGGGAAGCAGCAGUGGGGAAUACUGGACAAUGGGCGAAAGCAUGAUCCAGCAAUGCCGCGUGAGUGAUGAAGGCCUUAGGGUUGUAAAGCUCUUUUACCCGGGAUGAUAAUGACAGUACCGGGAGAAUAAGCUCCGGCUAACUCCGUG
rnacentral:rRNA from 1 species